UACGUAGGGUGCGAGCGUUAAUCGGAAUUACUGGGCGUAAAGCGUGCGCAGGCGGUUGACUAAGUCUGAUGUGAAAGCCCCGGGCUCAACCUGGGAAUGGCAUUGGAAACUGGUCGGCUUGAGUCUGGCAGAGGGGGGUGGAAUUCCGCGUGUAGCAGUGAAAUGCGUAGAGAUGCGGAGGAACACCGAUGGCGAAGGCAGCCCCCUGGGCCAAGACUGACGCUCAGGCACGAAAGCGUGGGGAGCAAACAGG
rnacentral:rRNA from 1 species